CACACCAUUGCCGUUGAGAUUUUGAAAUCAAAACUUAAAGGGCCAAGUCAGUGAUUCCAAAGCAAAAACACAUAAAUAUCACCUUUCCCGAGAUAUUUUACAACUUUAAAGUUAUUAGACAUGAAAGGUGCUCUUAAGGCCAUGUCCCUUCAUUUGGACACAAGCAUAAUCACAUCUUGUUUUUCAACAUUUAAGCCACCUUCAUUUGCUUCGGGAGAUCGAACUGCUACGCCUUUCCCUAGCUGUCUGUUCCCUUCCCCUUCAUUUCCUUCUCCUCUGACCUCUGCCUCUGGCCUGGCUUAUGAGCUUUCACAGCCUCGCCGGCCCUCUUCACCUCUUCUCCCCAAAUGCCCUUAUCAACAGGAGAUACGUUCACCAAAAUCAAAGGUAAUUUGCAUCUUGAGAGUGGUUCAACUUGCUGCA
rnacentral:lncRNA from 1 species